UUGAUUGAUUCAAUCGUGGACUCGGACGCACAGAUGCAGGGUUUCGGGUGUCCGCCGGGGGCCCCGACGCCCGAAGGCCGGGUCGCCCCCGAGGCAACAGUGGUCGGAUAACAUGGGGUUGGAGGUCGGACCCGAAGGCCCUCGCUCGGUAAUGAUCCCUCCGCAGGUUCACCUACGGAGA
rnacentral:misc_RNA from 1 species